AACGAACGCUGGCGGCAGGCUUAACACAUGCAAGUCGAACGCCCCGCAAGGGGAGUGGCAGACGGGUGAGUAACGCGUGGGAAUCUACCGUACCCUACGGAAUAACGCACGGAAACGUGUGCUAAUACCGUAUACGCCCUAUGGGGGAAAGAUUUAUCGGGGUAUGAUGAGCCCGCGUUGGAUAGCUAGUUGGUGGGGUAAAGGCCUACCAAGGCGACGAUCCAUAGCUGGUCUGAGAGGAUGAUCAGCCACAUUGGGACUGAGACACGGCCCAAACUCCUACGGGAGGCAGCAGUGGGGAAUAUUGGACAAUGGGCGCAAGCCUGGUCCAGCCAUGCCGCGUGAGUGAUGAAGGCCCUAGGGUUGUAAAGCUCUUUCACCGAUGAAGAUAAUGACGGUAGUCGGAGAAGAAGCCCCGGCUAACUUCGUGCCAGCCGCCGCAGUAACAC
rnacentral:rRNA from 1 species